UACGUCCCAGCAGCCGCGGUAAUACGUAGGUGGCAAGCGUUGUCCGGAUUUAUUGGGCGUAAAGCGAGCGCAGGCGGUUUCUUAAGUCUGAUGUGAAAGCCUUCGGCUCAACCGAAGAAGUGCAUCGGAAACUGGGAAACUUGAGUGCAGAAGAGGACAGUGGAACUCCAUGUGUAGCGGUGAAAUGCGUAGAUAUAUGGAAGAACACCAGUGGCGAAGGCGGCUGUCUGGUCUGUAACUGACGCUGAGGCUCGAAAGCAUGGGUAGCAAACAGGAUUAGAUACCCUGGUAGUCCAUGCCGUAAACGAUGAGUGCUAGGUGUUGGAGGGUUUCCGCCCUUCAGUGCCGCAGCUAACGCAUUAAGCACUCCGCCUGGGGAGUACGACCGCAAGGUUGAAACUCAAAGGAAUUGACGGGGGCCCGCACAAGCGGUGGAGCAUGUGGUUUAAUUCGAAGCAACGCGAAGAACCUUACCAGGUCUUGACAUCCUUUGACCACUCUAGAGAUAGAGCUUUCCCUUCGGGGACAAAGUGACAGGUGGUGCAUGGUUGUCGUCAGCUCGUGUCGUGAGAUGUUGGGUUAAGUCCCGCAACGAGCGCAACCCUUAUUACUAGUUGCCAGCAUUUAGUUGGGCACUCUAGUGAGACUGCCGGUGACAAACCGGAGGAAGGUGGGGACGACGUCAAAUCAUCAUGCCCCUUAUGACCUGGGCUACACACGUGCUACAAUGGAUGGUACAACGAGUUGCGAGACCGCGAGGUUUAGCUAAUCUCUUAAAACCAUUCUCAGUUCGGAUUGUA
rnacentral:rRNA from 2 species